rnacentral:rRNA from 1 species
UACGUAGGUGGCAAGCGUUGUCCGGAUUUACUGGGCGUAAAGAGCGCGCAGGCGGUCGACCAAGUCGCGUGUGAAAGCCCCCGGCUCAACUGGGGAGGGUCACGCGAUACUGAUCGACUCGAAGGCAGGAGAGGGUAGUGGAAUUCCCGGUGUAGUGGUGAAAUGCGUAGAUAUCGGGAGGAACACCAGUGGCGAAGGCGGGUCUCUGGGCCGAUACUGACGCUGAGGAGCGAAAGCGUGGGGAGCGAACAGG